AAAGAGAGUCUUUUAGAGGCUACAUACCAACCGCGUUGUUAGAUAGCUAGUUUUCUGACAUUUCUAUUUUAGUAAAGGAAAUAAUUAUUAUUAUUCUCCCCCUUAUUAAGGAAUAAGCCUUAAUACCAGCCCUAAUCUACCUUCAUGUUAUAUUUAAUUUGUAGGAUUAACAGCAUCCAUCAAUAUUAUAGUGUUUUAACAAACCAACUCCCUAAAACUAAAUUCAUUAUAUAGUAAGAUAGGCCUAUUAUCAGGAUGACUUCAUAAAUUUUUUACGAGUUAUACAUAUGCUAGGAUGAGUAUUUUAAACUAUCUCAAAUAUUGAAACAUGACCUUUACUUUAUAAGUUACUUUUUUAAAAGUAAAUAAGGAACUCGGCAAAUAUUUGCCUCGACUGUUUACCAAAAACAUUGCCCUUAGAUUUAUGAUAUUAAGGGUUAGUCCUGCCCGGUGACAUACGUGUUUAACGGCCGCGGUACCCUGACCGUGCAAAGGUAGCAUAAUCACUCGCCUUUUAAUUGGAGGCUAGCAUGAAUGGAUAAACGAGGGCAAAACUGUCUCUUUUACUCCUAUAAAAAUUAGUCUUCAGGUGAAGACACCUGAAUGAGAAUGAAAGACAAGAAGACCCUGUUGAGCUUUACUCUGCUUAUUUGUUAUUAAUAAUACUCUAAAAUUAAUUCUUGAUAAUUGAGUUCUGUUGGGGCGACAAAGGAACACACCUAUCUUCCUUCAAUACACAGACGUCUAGUCUUCCACCUGACCCUCCCUAGAUCAAAGAAACCAGCUACCACAGGGAUAACAGGCUAAUUCUUCUUGAGAGCCCACAUUAACAGAAGAGUUUGGCACCUCGAUGUUGGCUUGGGGGUACCUAUAUGGUGCAGCGGCC
rnacentral:rRNA from 1 species